CAAGUCGUGGGGCAGCGGGGGUAGCAAUACCCGCCGGCGACCGGCAAACGGGUGCGGAACACGUACGCAACCUUCCUUUAACUGGAGAAUAGCCCCUCGAAAGAGGGAUUAAUACUCCGUAACAUAUUGAUAAGGCAUCUUAUUAAUAUUAUAGCUCCGGCGGUUAAAGAUGGGCGUGCGCCUGAUUAGAUAGUUGGCGGGGUAACGGCCCACCAAGUCUGCGAUCAGUAACUGGUGUGAGAGCACGACCAGUCACACGGGCACUGAGACACGGGCCCGACUCCUACGGGAGGCAGCAGUAAGGAAUAUUGGUCAAUGGACGCAAGUCUGAACCAGCCAUGCCGCGUGGAGGAUUAAGGCCCUCUGGGUUGUAAACUCCUUUUAUCUGGGAAGAAAUGCAUUUUUUCUAAAGUGCUUGACGGUACCAGAGGAAUAAGCACCGGCUAACUCCGUGCCAGCAGCCGCGGUAAUACGGAGGGUGCAAGCGUUAUCCGGAUUCACUGGGUUUAAAGGGUGCGUAGGCGGGCAGGUAAGUCCGUGGUGAAAUCUCUGAGCUUAACUCAGAAACUGCCAUGGAUACUAUUUGUCUUGAAUAUUGUGGAGGUAAGCGGAAUAUGUCAUGUAGCGGUGAAAUGCUUAGAUAUGACAUAGAACACCAAUUGCGAAGGCAGCUUACUACACAGUUAUUGACGCUGAGGCACGAAAGCGUGGGGAUCAAACAGGAUUAGAUACCCUGGUAGUCCACGCCCUAAACGAUGAUUACUCGACAUCAGCGAUACACUGUUGGUGUCUGAGCGAAAGCAUUAAGUAAUCCACCUGGGAAGUACGAUCGCAAGAUUGA
rnacentral:rRNA from 1 species